rnacentral:rRNA from 1 species
AACGAACGCUGGCGGCAGGCUUAACACAUGCAAGUCGAACGCGUGUAGCAAUACACGAGUGGCGCACGGGUGAGUAACGCGUGGAUAUCUGCCUUUUGGUUCGGAAUAACCCCGGGAAACUGGGGCUAAUACCGGAUGGUUCCUUCGGGAUAAAGAUUUAUUGCCAUUGGAGCGGCCCGCGUCGGAUUAGCUAGUUGGUGAGGUAAUGGCUCACCAAGGCGACGAUCCGUAGCUGGUCUGAGAGGAUGACCAGCCUCACUGGGACUGAGACACGGCCCAGACUCCUACGGGAGGCAGCAGUGGGGAAUAUUGGACAAUGGGCGCAAGCCUGAUCCAGCCAUGCCGCGUGGAUGAUGAAGGCCCUAGGGUUGUAAAGUCCUUUUAACGGGGAAGAUAAUGACGGUACCCGUAGAAUAAGCCCCGGCUAACUUCGUGCCAGCCGCCGCGGUAAGAC